GGAUCGCAGGGCCGAGGGGCCGGGCGCGCGCCGGGGAGGACCCAGGCCGGGGGCCGCUCGCCGCCGGGCGGGGUCACUGGAGAGCGCGCCGAGGGGAUGCUUCGUAAAUGCCCGCAGCCUGAAGGAAGUCGUUGAUCUCCGCCCCCUUCGCCAAAGCCCGGCCAGGCGAGUAAGGGCGCGGCCUGAGCCCCUGCGGUGAUUCCCCAGAUCACCAGUCAUGGGAGGUGGAAGGGUGGAGAAUGAGCCCAUUUUGGAAGAGAGACUGGAACCAAUUAUGAGUAGAUAAGGCCAUGGGAGUCUGCUGGAGUAUGGUGGAACCGGAGGAUUGCAGGACUCUCAACUUACGGAGAAGACAUGUGUUGGCAGGAAGUAUUCUGGGAAGAGUUUUGCUGUAUCUCUGGAAGGAAGAAGAUUGUUUCCCAUUGGGGGAUGGCACUUUCAACAUGUGGGAGCUUGUCGUGUCACAGAAGAAUGACAGGUGAGCUUCAGUGAUGCUCCUGGUGACUAAUGCUGAGGUUAAGAAUGCAGCUGUAAAGAGCUCUCUAAAAAGCAUGGAUCAGACAAUUUUAUCUUAUUAAUUCAAAACCUUCAACAAUGAAAGCUUAUGAUUGCAAGAAUAAUCUUUGUUUCUGCAAUGAUUUGAUGGGGCAAAAGGGAACUAAUCCUUAAAUGGAUGGUUUUUUAAAACUGUAAGGCAGGUGAAAUCUCAGUAAAAGACAAACUCUCUCCCACCUUGCCCACAUUGCCUC